GAUGAACGCUGGCGGCGUGCCUAAUACUUGCAAGUCGAGCGCACGGACGAGAUACUUGCUUCUCUGAUGUUAGCGGCGGACGGGUGAGUAACACGUGGAUAACCUACCUAUAAGACUGGGAUAACUUCGGGAAACCGGAGCUAAUACCGGAUAAUAUUUUUAACCGCAUGGUUCAAGAGUGAAAGACGCUCUUGCUGUCACCUAUAGAUAUCUCCGCUCGGCAUUAGCUAGUUGGUAAGGUAACGGCUUACCAAGGCAACGAUGCAUAGCCGACCUGAAAGGGGGAUCGGCAACUCGGGACCUGGGACACGGUCCAGACUCCUACGGGAGGCAGCAGUAGGGAAUCUUCCGCAAUGGGCGAAGUCCUGACGGAGCACCGCCGCGUGAGUGAUGAAGGUCUUCGGAUGGUAAAACUCUGUUAUUAGGGAAGAACAUAUGUGUAAGUAACUGUGCACAUCUUGACGGUACCUAAUCAGAAAGCCACGGCUAACUACGUG
rnacentral:rRNA from 1 species